rnacentral:tRNA from 1 species
CUCGCGAUAGCUCAUUUGGUAGAGCGGAGGACUGUAGAUCCUUAGGUCGGUGGUUCGAAUCCGUCUCGCGAGA